AGGAGGUUUGAUCCAUGGCUCAGGACGAACGCUGGCGGCGUGCUUAACACAUGCAAGUCGCACGAACGGAGGAGAGCUUGCUCUCCAAUGUUAGUGGCGAACGGGUGCGUAACACGUGAGCAACUUGUCCUUCGGUGGGGGAUAGCCGGCCCAACGGCCGGGUAAUACCGCGUAUCGGAUCAUUAUCGCAUGGUGAUGAUGUGAAAGCGGCCGCAAGGUCGCGCCGGGGGAGGGGCUCGCGGCGUAUCAGCUUGUUGGUGGGGUAACGGCCUACCAAGGCGACGACGCGUAGCUGGUCUGAGAGGAUGAUCAGCCACAUUGGGACUGAGAUACGGCCCAGACUCCUACGGGAGGCAGCAGUGGGGAAUAUUGCGCAAUGGCCGCAAGGCUGACGCAGCGACGCCGUGUGUGGGAUGAAGGCUUUCGGGUUGUAAACCACUGUCAGGAGGGACGAAUACUCGGCUUCAAAAUAGUUGACCGAGGGUGACGGUACCUCCAAAGGGAAGCACCGGCUAACUCCGUGCCAGCAGCCGCGGUCACACGGAGGGUGC
rnacentral:rRNA from 1 species